rfam:Microgenomates (Daviesbacteria) bacterium GW2011_GWB1_41_5 TT67_C0006, whole genome shotgun sequence.
GGAGGAAUUGAGCAAUGGUGGCUCACCAGUCUUGAAAACUGGGGUCCCAAAAGGACAUGUGGGUUCGAAUCCCUCUUCCUCCG